GACGAACGCUGGCGGCGUGCUUAACACAUGCAAGUCGAACGGAAAGGCCUGCUUUCCCUUGUGGAUUGCGGGUACUCGAGUGGCGAACGGGUGAGUAACACGUGAGUGAUCUGCCCCCAACUUGGGUAUAAGCCUGGGAAACUGGGUCUAAUUCCCGAUAGGACUGCAGGGUGGUGCCUGUGGUGGAAAACGAUUUUCUAGUGGUUGGGGAUGAGCUCGCGGCCUAUCAGCUUGUUGGUGGGGUAAUGGCCUACCAAGGCGGCAACGGGUAGCCGGCCUGGGAGGGUGGACGGCCACAUUGGGACUGAGAUACGGCCCAGACCCCUACGGGAGGCAGCAGUGGGGAAUAUUGCACAAUGGGCGGAAGCCUGAUGCAGCGACGCCGCGUGGGGGAUGACGGCCUUCGGGUUGUAAACUCCUUUCGACCGCGAGGAAGCCACCUGGUUGGAAGGGUGGUGACGGUAGUGGUAGAAGAAGCACCGGCUAACUACGUG
rnacentral:rRNA from 1 species